UACGUAGGGUGCAAGCGUUGUCCGGAAUUAUUGGGCGUAAAGAGCUCGUAGGCGGUUUGUCGCGUCUGCUGUGAAAACUCAGGGCUUAACCCUGAGCCUGCAGUGGGUACGGGCAGACUAGAGUGUGGUAGGGGAGAUCGGAAUUCCUGGUGUAGCGGUGGAAUGCGCAGAUAUCAGGAGGAACACCGGUGGCGAAGGCGGAUCUCGUGGGCCGAUAACUGACGCUGAGGAGCGAAAGCUAGGGGAGCAAACGGG
rnacentral:rRNA from 1 species